AAACCAACAGGGAUUGCCUCAGUAACGGCGAGUGAAGCGGCAACAGCUCAAAUUUGAAAUCUGGCCCCCCCCGGGGUCCGAGUUGUAAUUUGUAGAGGAUGCUUCGGGGCAGCCACCGGUCUAAGUUCCUUGGAACAGGACGUCACAGAGGGUGAGAAUCCCGUACGUGGCCGGAAGGGCACCCCGUGUGAAGCUCCUUCGACGAGACGGGUUGUUUGGGAAUGCAGCCCUAAAUGGGAGGUAAAUUUCUUCUAAAGCUAAAUACCGGCCAGAGACCGAUAGCGCACAAGUAGAGUGAUCGAAAGAUGAAAAGCACUUUGGAAAGAGAGUUAAAAAGCACGUGAAAUUGUUGAAAGGGAAGCGCUUGCGAUCAGUCUCGACGGCGGCGGUUCAGCCGGUCUUCUGACCGGUCCACUCCGCCGCCGCCGGGCCAGCAUCGGUUUCGACGGUCGGACAAAGGUCGCGGGAACGUGGCCCCCUCGGGGGUGUUAUAGCCCGCGGCGCAAUACGACCAGUCGGGACCGAGGUCCGCGCUUCGGCUAGGAUGCUGGCGAAAUGGUCGUAAGCGGC
rnacentral:rRNA from 1 species